GAUGAUGAUAGUGAUGAAGAAGAAGAAGAAGAAGAAGAUGUGGACGAUAGAUCAAACAUGGCUGUUGAUGCACCACCUAAAUUUCAGUCAAAAGCAAAUCAAGUAAACAUGCAGGUUGAUGAUGGUAGCCAGGAGGCUCAAGGAGAAGACGGAUGGACUGUUGUUUCAUCUAGGAAAAACCGUAGUAAAAAGAAUUAAAUUAAAUCAAUUUUGUAAUUUACCUUUUUUUUUUUUUCUUCCUUCACCUCCUCAGUCCUCCAAUAUGAUGUGUUCCUGUGGCAGUCUUGGUGUCCUAAUCAUUCUUGUGCUUUACUAGUGUGAUACUCUACCAGGUGAACUCUUUUUGAUCGUCUGUGAUACCGUGAGAAAACUGUGUGAGCUUGUUUAAUAUUAAUGAUUUUUGAAUUUUAUAAAAUUGAAAUUCAUU
rnacentral:misc_RNA from 1 species